GAUGAAGAACGUAGCGAAAUGCGAUAAGUAAUGUGAAUUGCAGAAUUCAGUGAAUCAUCGAAUCUUUGAAUGCACAUUGCGCCCGCUGGUAUUCCGGCGGGCAUGCCUGUUCGAGCGUCAUUUCAACCCUCAAGCUCUCCGGAGUUUGGUGUUGGGGCGCCUGGGGCUUUUCGACCUCAGGGCCCUCAAGUCCAUCGGCGGGACCGCCAGGACACUGAGCGCAGUAGUAUUAUUUCGCUCGGUAGGAUCUUCCACGGCGGGUCGAUCUGGCCGCUAAACCCCCCAAUUCUCACCAAAGGUUGACCUCGGAUCAGGUAGGAAUACCCGCUGAACUUAAGCAUAUCAAUAAGCGGAGGA
rnacentral:misc_RNA from 1 species